ACAGUACUCCCUCCGUCCGAAAAUACUUGUCAGAAGAAUGAAUGUAUCUAGACGUAAUUUAGUUUUAGAUACAUCCAUUUUCAUCCAUUUCUCCGACAAAUAUUUUCGGACGAAGGGAGUACUAU
rfam:Triticum aestivum genome assembly, contig: Triticum_aestivum_CS42_TGACv1_scaffold_147380_2BS